GACAAAGUGGCCGAGUGGCGAAGGCAAUGUGACUGCUAAUCCACUGUGCUCUGCACGUGGGUUCAAAUCCCACCUUCGUCA